rnacentral:lncRNA from 1 species
UAAGAUGGAAUCAUGGUGCUUCUUUUAUGUAUAGCUUUGAUAAUAUAAGUGGUAUAAUAUAAAGAUAUCAAUAAAGAAACUACUUAUUUAUAGAUAGAUGUUCUUAUUAUUAUGUAAUUGGCAUGAAAUAAGAUAGAGUGGUCAUUUUAUUUUACAUAUUAUAUGGGAUACAAUACACACAUGUAGAGUCUUAUUUCCAUCGAUGUCUCUCAUCCUCUCCAUUUUCAUUGUUAAAGCCACCUUCCUUACAUGUCCUUUUCCCCAAACAUAAACAUCUACCAUUCUCUCUAUUUAAUUAAGUGGUUGAGACUUUCAUUUUUGGUGUCUUCACCAUUUUCUUUUGCAAAUUUUCCAUGUUCACCUUCAUUGUUUAUUCUACCAACAUUCUCUUUCUCAACGUGCAGAAAUGCACCUCCCCAGUCUCUCCAACCUACUGUUACACUUUCAUGGGCUUCACCUUUUUCUUUUGCACUUUUACCUUGUCCACUUUCUUUGUCACCUCCACCAUUAUUCUCUUUCUCAACGUCCGGAAAUGAGCCUCCCCAGUCUCGCCAACCAUCAAUUCCUAUUUUUGUUUUGGAUUCUUUCAUUACACCAACUGCAAAUUAAAAAACAUUUUUAUUAAAUAUAAUAAAUAAAUAAAUAAACAUACAAUUUAUAUAUAUACAUUGAUUCCCAUCUUUGGAUGUCUGAAUUGCCCUAAUAGAUAUAAUAAGUAGUAAACAAAGCAAGAACAUGAAGAAAAAAUGCUUGAUUUUCAUCCUUGAUCAACCAAUAGUUUAUU